AGGAGGGUGUCAUUCAUGGGGAUGGCAGGGGUGGUGGAUUAUUUAAUGGCCACAAAUUCUUCCUAUCCUAAUGUCCCAGAAUAAAGUCUGCGGCAGCCUACUGAAGGCCACUUGAAGAGGCAGCCAGCACCGACCAGGAUGAGCUGGCACUGAUCCACGAUGAGUGGGUCUGACCCCAUCCACACUGAGCAGAACUGCCCAGGCCAGCUGCUCUUGCCUCCUGAGCCCCCAGGCGACCAAACAAAUGAAUGCAAUCCUGUUGGUGACAAAUAAAUACUAGCUGCUGGGUUUCCUCAUUUGUGAAGUGGAGAUAAUACUGUCCUUCAGAUGUCCUUCUCACAGUGUCAGGGACAAUACAGCGAAUUAUAAAGACUGAAAAGAUGGAACGUUUUUUACACAUGCAAGAAUAUUAUAAACUCUUAAAGCUGAGAAUGAAGACACAAAAUGAUUCCUGCAUACUGCUUGUCCAAAGGAAUGUUUAAGAAUGAGCACUUUGUGUUGGACCCUGUUACGAUUUAGUUCUGAAAUGUUCUCCCAAAGUCUCCCACUCAGAGGUGGGGCUUUUGGAAGGCGAUUGGAUAGUGCUAUACUCAAUAGUGGAUUAAUCCAUUGGUGGAUUUGGAGGAGAGGAGAACUUCAUCUGACUAAAUGGCAGUUGAGAUUUGAAGGGUGAGUGUCAGAUUUAUCAAAGAAGAACUGGAAAGCAAGCUGCAUCAUUUCAUUAAAGAUCAUUAAAAAUG